rnacentral:rRNA from 1 species
UACGGGGGGGGCAAGCGUUGUUCGGAAUUACUGGGCGUAAAGGGCUCGUAGGUGGCCAACUAAGUCAGACGUGAAAUCCCUCGGCUUAACCGGGGAACUGCGUCUGAUACUGGAUGGCUUGAGUUUGGGAGAGGGACGCGGAAUUCCAGGUGUAGCGGUGAAAUGCGUGGAUAUCUGGAGGAACACCGGUGGCGAAGGCGGCGUCCUGGACCAACACUGACACUGAUGAGCGAAAGCCAGGGGAGCAAACGGG